GAUGAACGCUGACCGAAUGCUUAACACGUGCAAGUCGAUGGGGAAGUGGUGCUUGCACCAUGGCAACCAUGGCGGACGGGUGAGUAACGCGUAAGGGACUUACCUGCAGGACUGGGAUAACAGGGGGAAACCCCUGACAAGACCGGAUAAUGUCAUGGAGCUGCAUGGCUUUAUGAUGAAAGGAGACGCCUGCGGAGAGCCUUGCGUCCUAUUAGCUAGUUGGUGAGGUAAUGGCUCACCAAGGCGAAGAUAGGUAGCCGGCCUGAGAGGGUGGACGGCCACAAGGGGACUGAGAUACGGCCCUUACUCCUACGGGAGGCAGCAGUGGGGAAUAUUGGACAAUGGGGGCAACCCUGAUCCAGCAAUUCUGUGUGCACGAAGAAGGUUUUCGGAUUGUAAAGUGCUUUCAGCAGGGAAGAAGUAAGUGACGGUACCUGCAGAAGAAGCGACGGCUAAAUACGUG
rnacentral:rRNA from 1 species